rnacentral:rRNA from 1 species
GACGAACGCUGGCGGCGUGCUUAACACAUGCAAGUCGAACGGAAAGGCCCGGCUUGCGGGUUGCUGAAGUGGCGAACGGGUGGGUAACUCGUGGGUGGUUUGCCCCUUUUUUUGGGAUAGGCCUGGGAAACUGGGUCUAUUACUGAAUAGGACAUUGCUUUAGGUGGUGUGGUGGAAAGUUUAGUUUGGUUAAGGGAUGAGCUCUCGGCCUAUCAGCUUGUUGUUGGGGUAUUGGCCUACCAAGGCGUUGACGGGUAGCCGGCCUGAGAGGGUGGACGGCCACAUUGGGACUGAGAUACGGCCCAGAAUCCUACGGGAGGCAGCAGUGGGGAAUAUUGCACAAUGGGCGCAAGCCUGAUGCAGCGACGCCGCGUGGGGGAUGACGGCCUUCGGGUUGUAAACUCCUUUCAGCCAUGACGAAGCCCUUGUGGUGACGGUAGUGGUAGAAGAAGCACCGGCUAACUACGUG